AAUGUUAACCAUAGUUAGCG
rnacentral:snRNA from 1 species